UGACCCGUAGAUUUCCGAAUGGGGGAACCCGGCAGUGGUUAUGCACUGUCACCCAUACCUUUGAGUAUGAGGAGGGCACCUGGGGAACUGAAACAUCUAAUUACCCAGAGGAAGAGUAAUCAAACGAGAUUUUCUUAGUAGCGGCGAGCGAACGGGAAAGAGGCCAAACCGGAGCGGGCAACCGCACCGGGGUUGAGGACAGUCAUCAAGUGUAAAUGAGGUAGAAGAAUCGAGUUGGAAAGCUCAGCCGCAGAAGGUGAAAGCCCUGUAAUCGAAACCUUGCAUACAUGGGACUGUAUCCAGAGUACCACGAGACACGUGAAACCUUGUGGGAAGCAGGGGGGACCACCCUCCAAGCCAAAAUACUGAUAUCGACCGAUAGCGCAUAGUACCGUGAGGGAAAGGUGAAAAGAACCCCUGGCGGGGAGUGAAAGAGAACCUGAAACCGUAUGUCUACAAACAGUCGAAGUCUGUAUAUAUAUCAGGACGACGGCGUGCCUAUUGAAGAAUGAACCGACGAGUUACUGUUGCUAGCGAGGUUAAGUGGAAAACAUGGAGCCGCAGCGAAAGCGAGUCUGAACAGGGCGUUCAGUUAGUAAUAGUAGACCCGAAACCGUAGUGAUCUAUCCAUGGCCAGGUUGAAGCACAGGUAAAAUUGUGUGGAGGACCGAACUCGUGAGCGUUGAAAAGCUUUGGGAUGAGUUGUGGAUAGGGGUGAAAUGCCAAUCGAACACGGAGAUAGCUGGUUCUCCCCGAAAUAGCUUUAGGGCUAGCCUCGAGGUUGAGAGUAUAGGCGGUAGAGCACUGAUCGGGCUAGGGGCCAUACCGGUUACCGAACCUAGUCAAACUACGAAUGGCUAUACUUAUACUCGGGAGUCAGACAGUGAAUGAUAAGGUCCAUUGUCAAGAGGGAAACAGCCCAGAACACCGACUAAGGUCCCCAAUGUCAUACUAAGUGGCGAAGGAUGUGGAAUUUCCAAAACAACCAGGAUGUUGGCUUAGAAGCAGCCACCAUUUAAAGAGUGCGUAAUAGCUCACUGGUCGAGAGACUCUGCGCCGAAAAUGUCCGGGGCUAAAGUAUGAAACCGAAGUCGUGUCAUAUGCAGCAAUGUAUAUGGGUAGGGGAGCGUUCUCAUCGGAUUGAAGCAGUACCGUAAGGAGUUGUGGACUGGUGAGAAGUGAGAAUGUCGGUAUGAGUAGCGAAAAGAAUGGUGAGAAUCCAUUCCACCGAAAGCCUAAGGGUUCCUGAGCAACGAUCGUCGUCUCAGGGUAAGUCGGGACCUAAGCCGAGGCGGAAAAGCGUAGGCGAUGGACAACAGGUUGAAAUUCCUGUACCGGUGUGAAUCGUUUGAUCGAAGGAGUGACACAGUAAGGUAGGUCAGCACGCGAUUGGAAGUGCGUGUUUAAGCAUGUAGGUUGAGUUAUAGGCAAAUCCGUAACUCUAAAAGCUGAGAUGUGAUGACGAGCUGUUUACAGCGAAGUGAUUGAUCCUACACUGUCGAGAAAAGCUUCUAGGUAGAGACACAUCGCCCGUACCAAAACCGACACAGGUAGGCGGGGAGAGAAUCCUAAGGUGCGCGGGAAAACCCUCGUUAAGGAACUCGGCAAAAUGCCUCCGUAACUUCGGGAAAAGGAGGACUCAUGUAGUGUGAAGGGCAGUAACGCGUGGAGCAUGAAUGAGUGGCACAAGAGAGGCGCAAGCGACUGUUUACCACAAACACAGGUGCCUGCUAAAGCGAAAGCUGAUGUAUAGGUGCUGACACCUGCCCGGUGCUGGAAGGUUAAGAGGAGGGGUUAGACUUCGGUCGAAGCUCUGAAUUGAAGCCCCAGUAAACGGCGGCCGUAACUAUAACGGUCCUAAGGUAGCGAAAUUCCUUGUCGGGUAAGUUCCGACCC
rnacentral:rRNA from 1 species